CACUCAGUCAGUCUUCUCUUCUCUUUUCGUGUCUUCUUCUUUCUUCUUCACAAUCAAAACCCUAAGCGGCGCCUCUCUCUCCCGAGUUCGUCUCUCCAGACCUUGGAUCUUUCGGCGACAGCACCGGCGUCGCUCCUUCGUCGAUCUCUCUCUCUCUCUCUUGUCUAGCAGGUAUAAUUUUUCUUUCUUCUGUUUUUGACCUAAGCGGCGCCUCUCUCUCCCAACCUCAGAUCUUGUCUCUCCCGACCUCAGAUCUUUCGGCGACAGCAUCGGCGUUGCUCCUUCAUCGAUCUCUAUCUCUCGUCUGGCAGGUACAUGAUACUAUUGUGAGCAAAGUGGACAAGGACUCACCUUAUAGGUACCCCCCUCCUCACUCAAUGGUGAUAAUCAAAGAUGGUGUCCGGCUUCUCAACAUAGAAAUAAAAAAUUACUUGUUGGAGGAUUCGAACUUUAACGCUCCAACAGUACCCUUUGAUCUCCCUUUCAGAAGCAAAGAAGCCGCCAUUGGCUCAAUAGUCUAGCUACAAACAUGGUUUCUCUGGUUUUGCAGCGAGGCUUAGAAUCUCAAGCCAAGGAGAUUGCAGAGUUACCCGGGGUUGCUCAUGUCAUGCCUAGUAGCUUUCAUACGCUGCAAAAUACUAGGAGUCGGGAUUAUCUAGGCCUCUCUUCUCAUUCUCCCACAAAUCUUAUGCAUGACACAAGGAUGGGAGAUGGGAUUGUCAUUGGUAUAAUUGGCUCAGGAAUAUGGCCAGAGUAAAAAAUGUUAAAUAAUGAGGGGGUUGGGCCAAUCCCAACAUGUUGGAAGGGUCGGUGCUAAUCAGGAGAACGCUUCAAUGCCACAACAGACUGCAACAGAAAACUUAUAGGAGCAAAGUGGUUCAAAGCUGGUUUCCUUGCUGAUAAUGAACGACCAUUCAACACCACUGAAUUCCCAGAGUUCUUGUGUCCUAGAGAUGCAAUGGGACAUGGCACACACACUGCCACAACCUCUGCUGGUUCCUUUGUGGCCAAUGUAAGUUACAAAGGCCUCAUCCUAGGAGUAGUUAGAGGUGGUGCACCCCGGGCUCAUUUGGCCGUGUACAGGCCAUGUUGGUGCUGCGGCUGAAUCAGCUGAAAGCUUUCAAUGAGGCUAUUUAUGAUGGGGUUGAUGUGUUGUCACCGUCUAUGGGAAACUACCUUUCUAAGUUUGCAGAGUCUCAUGCAAUAAAGGUAAAGUGAAAUUGUUGUUGAAUCAUUGUUUUGAUUGAUCAUUGCAGAACAGUUUGUGGGUAUCGAAGUACUCUCAUUAGGACAAAUGGUUUUGCCGUCAAUUUUAUUAACUUUUUCUGUUAAAUGCAGGGGCAAAAUGAUAUUUUUGUAUUAAAACCAAAAAAAUGAAUAAAAGAAAAUACCAU